rnacentral:rRNA from 1 species
UGGGGAAUUUUGCACAAUGGACGAAAGUCUGAUGCAGCGACGCCGCGUGGAGGAUGAAGGUCUUCGGAUUGUAAACUUCUGUUAAGUGGGACGAAAAGCUGUUGGUUAAUACCCAGCAGUGUUGACAGUACCACUAGAGAAAGCACCGGCAAACUUCGUGCCAGCAGCCGCGGUAAUACGAAGGGUGCAAGCGUUAUUCGGAGUUACUGGGCGUAAAGAGCGUGAAGGCGGUCUUUUAAGUCAGUUGUUAAAUCCUACAGCUUAACUGUAGACCAGCAACUGAUACUGGAAGUCUAGAGCGUAAGAGAGAGAAGUAGAAUUCCCGGAGUAGCGGUAAAAUGCGUAGAUCUCGGGAGGAAUACCGAUGGCGAAGGCAGCUUCUUGGCUUAUUGCUGACGCUCAAGCGCGAAAGCGUGGGGAGCAAACAGG